rnacentral:tRNA from 1 species
GGGCCACUAGCUCAGCUUGGUUAGAGCGUUCGGCUGAUAACCGGAAGGUCUGGAGUUCAAAUCUCCGGUGGCCCA